rnacentral:rRNA from 1 species
UACAGAGGUCCCAAGCGUUGUUCGGAUUCACUGGGCGUAAAGGGUGCGUAGGCGGUGAGGUAAGUCGGAUGUGAAAGCUCCGAGCUCAACUCGGAAAUGGCAUUGGAAACUACCUUGCUCGAGGGUUUGAGGGGGGACUGGAAUACUUGGUGUAGCAGUGAAAUGCGUAGAUAUCAAGUAGAACACCAGUGGCGAAGGCGAGUCCCUGGAAAACUCCUGACACUGAGGCACGAAAGCUAGGGGAGCAAACAGG